ensembl:lncRNA
CUUACACAAUGGUAUCUUGCGUUACUGGUCAGGACGGCCCUGCCUUUCUAGUGAGCUGCCUGUGGUGAGCGUCCCUUCCUGGGCAGCUAUACUGGGUCUCUUAGAGGCAGCGUCCUCGGGCCUGCAGCUUCCCUCACUCUGUCCCUGCAGGCUGGAAGCUCCCCUAGAGCUCUUGUCCACCCAGGAGCAAGAUAGCUUUCUUUCCUCCUCCUACCCUUCCCUCUCCUUCCCCUCCUCCCUCUCUUCCUCCCUCUGCCCUCCCAGUCCUUUUCUUUCUUCUCCUCCUCCUGCUCCUCCUCCUCCUCCUGCUCCUCCUGCUCCUCCUCCUUCUCUUCCUUCUCUUUUCCUCCUUCUCUACCUCCCUCCUCUUUUGUACUGUGGUGUCAGUGGACACGUGGAACACUUCUGCCCCUGGCUAUUGAGAAUCAAGCUGCUAGGAAUACCAGAUUCCCCAUCCAACUGGUUGGGAAGCUCUUCAUGUGGCUUUUCAGAGUGGACAGUCCUGCUAGCUGUCCCUUUGCCCUCUGCCAGAUCCCCAGAGUUCUUUUCAUUCAUUGAUGGCUUAGGAAGAGAGAGUGUGUGCAAGACACACGUGUCUUCUACUCACUGGCCAAGAUAAGACAAGACUACAACAUCAUUUCCUGGUCCUGCCUACUUCCUGUGGGCGGCCCCUUCUCCACGAGAGCAGCACCUGACACAGGGGACUCAUUCUCCUUUGAUGCUUUUUAAAGGUGUACUUGUGACUCGAAUGACUGUGAUCCUGGGAAAACUCAACAUUUCAUCUCAUCAAAGUCACCUUUCCAACUUUAGCAGUGAAAACUACAAGAAAGGGGGUCAAAAUUCAGAUUAGGCAUCCUGGAGCAUCCUCUCUGGCUCCACAAGGUGAUCAGAGAGUGUGGACACAUAUCCAUCUAUUGACAAAUAAUUGUGAAAGGCAAAAUGUCUCCCUAAAUUAUAGUAAUGCACAUGUGAUGUGUAUAAUUCAACACCCUUUUGUGUAGGAAGUAGCCAUACUACUAAUACACUGCUGGUGGAAUUCUUAAUUGGUUUAGCCACUUAAAGAGAAAUCAGUAUUAUGUCUUAAAGUUGAAAAUGUAGGCAUCCUAUGGCCCAGCAAUUCCAUCAAUAUGAUCAAUAAAGAUUUAUUUCCCAAUCAGCAACCCAAGAUGACUGAAUAGUGCAAACAACUGCAUAUAUAAAUGACUCCCAGUGGUUUCAUUUUUCAAUGAGAUGAUAUCUGAAGAGCAGGAAAAAAAUGACUGGGUUCAUAUGGAGGAGAAAUCAGUUCCGCUGGAAUGCUGCUGUCAGGACUGAACACAAGGCGGCAAGUUUGUAGAUGGUGGAGACCCUCGUGCUGUUUAUCUCACAGACAUUCUCAUGUAAGCCUGCCUGGGAGAACUGAAACAGGUGGACGUAUCUGUGUAAAGAAGAAGCAGUGUGGUAUCAUCUCAUAUGGUUCUCACACCAUGGGACACAUGAGAAAGAAUCACCAAGUUUAUACCAAUUCUUUUUAUUAACAGAAGUAUUGGUUCAGGAUGAGUGGAAGCAUUGUAGAAUUUAUCUGCUGUCAGACAAGUAGAGAUUUCUAGGUAAUAUUCUGCUUCCCAGACUGGCCACUUGAGUAAUACGAUAAGAACAUAGCCAUCAUGGUAGUGGCAUAAGUACCUACAUUUUCUCUUAAAUAAUCACUUACCUGGGGACCUCACCUCUUGAGAAUAUGUUGAAAAUAGAAAAUGUAUAUAAAGUCAGAUAGGCCUUCGUGAGAACAGUUGGUCUUUCCUGGGGGUAAUUUUGCCUCUCCCUGUAGGGAACAUUUGACGAUGUCUACAGACAUCUCUGAUUGGGCUGACUAACAAGGAAGGAAGAACUGCUAAUGGUGCCUAGAAGGUGGAGGGCAGGGAUCCUGAUCAAUAUUCUAAAAUGCACAGGAUGGCCUGUUAUAAUUUAGAUCUCAAGGGGCCGGGGAUUUAGCUCAGUGGUUCCGCCGCCUGCCUCGCAAGCACAAGAACCCGAGUUCGACCCCCAGUACCAAAAACAAAACAAAACAAAAAUAAUUUAGAUCUCAAAUGUCUCCCCAAAGUCUCCGGUGUGUGGAAGAUCGUUGGGUCAUGGGGCUCGGUACUCAUCAGUGGACUCAUCCUUGAUGAGUUCACAGCUGAAUGUGCUGCUAGGAGGUGGGGCCUGGAAGAAGGUGGG